GACGAACGCUGGCGGCGUGCCUAAUACAUGCAAGUAGAACGCGGAAGGAGGAGCUUGCUCUUCUGGAUGAGUUGCGAACGGGUGAGUAACGCGUAGGUAACCUGCCUGGUAGCGGGGGAUAACUAUUGGAAACGAUAGCUAAUACCGCAUAACAGUAGAUGUUGCAUGACAUUUGCUUAAAAGGUGCAAUUGCAUCACUACCAGAUGGACCUGCGUUGUAUUAGCUAGUUGGUGGGGUAACGGCUCACCAAGGCGACGAUACAUAGCCGACCUGAGAGGGGGGGCGGCCACCCUGGGACGGGGACACGGCCCAGACCGCUUCAGGAAGGCGCCGGAGGGAAUCUUUGGGCAGUGGCGGAAGGCCGACCGAGCCAGGCCGAGGGAGGGAAGAAGGGUUUCGGGUCCGAAAGGUCUGUUUUAAGAGAAGAAACAGCGUGAGAGUGGAAAGUUCCCACUGUGACGGUAUCUUACCAAAAAGGGACGGCUAACUACGUG
rnacentral:rRNA from 1 species